rnacentral:rRNA from 1 species
AGAAUCUUCCGCAAUGGACGAAAGUCUGACGGAGCAACGCCGCGUGAGGGAGGAAGGCCUUAGGGUUGUAAACCUCUUUUCUCUGGGAAGAAGAACUGCCGGUACCAGAGGAAUAAGCCUCGGCUAACUCCUUGCCAGCAGCCGCGGUAAGACGGAGGAGGCAAGCGUUAUCCGGAAUUAUUGGGCGUAAAGCGUCCGUAGGCGGUUUUUUAAGUCUGUUGUCAAAGCCCACAGCUCAACUGUGGAUCGGCAAUGGAAACUGGGGAACUUGAGUGUGGUAGGGGUAGAGGGAAUUCCCGGUGUAGCGGUGAAAUGCGUAGAUAUCGGGAAGAACACCAGUGGCGAAGGCGCUCUACUGGGCCACAACUGACGCUGAUGGACGAAAGCUAGGGGAGCG